GCCCUCAUCGUCUAGUGGCCUAGGACGCCGCCCUUUCAAGGCGGUAGCACGGGUUCGAAUCCCGUUGGGGGCAC
rnacentral:tRNA from 2 species